UAAUUACUCCCUCCGUUCGAAAAUACUUGUCAUCAAAAUGGUUAAAAAUGUAUGUAUCUAAAACUAAAAUACAUCUAGAUACAUCCUCUUUUAUUUAUUUUGAUGACAAGUAUUUCCGGACGGAGGGAGUAGUAA
rnacentral:pre_miRNA from 1 species